rfam:Trichobilharzia regenti genome assembly, scaffold: TRE_scaffold0000907
GCGUCGGUGGCACAGUGGUUAGGGCGCUCGCUGACCAUGCACAUGGUCCAAGGUUCGAUUCCUGGCCGACGCA